UUUGAAAGGGAACCUUAUAAACAAAGUUAUGGAUUAGUCUGGCGGUAAUUAUGCACGCUGCCUAACGUAGAGAUCCUGAGUUCGAGUCGGGUAAGUACCUUUUUUCUCGUUUUUUUUAAACUAAAAAAACAUUAGGGUUUAGUUUUCCCCUUUUCUGUUUACCCUCAAACCCAAACAUGAACAGAACACACACUAAACACAGCGACCGCUCCAAAUCAGUCCUACCACUCAUCCAAUCGUCACAAAAGCACUUGCCGGAGCCACUCCAGCCUCAACGGCUCAGUCACGUAGCCCCUCCGGCCUUCUCUCAGUCCCUCACUUACUCACUCUCUUCGGCCCUUCACUCCUCCAGGUGAGACAUGAGGUCAGACAUAUCAUACAAAGAAGAUCUACUGGAGUUUGAUGAAGAAGCAUCAUCUGUUGUGUCAAAUGAACAAGAGGAAGAACAUGUUGUUGUUGUUGAUGAUGAUAGAUUUGAGAUUGUUGAAGCUUCUUCAAUAGAGGAACAUGGAUCUUGUUCAUGUUCAUGAGGAUGAUGAUGAAAGUUUUGGUUAUUUAGUUUAUCCAUUAUCAUUGGAUGGUAUGAAAAUAAUAAGUGUUUGAGAAACACAAAUCAAAGAUAGGAUUGUAACCA